rnacentral:lncRNA from 1 species
CACCAUUUGCUGUGGUUUUAAUGGCCACUCCAAAAUUCAGGAGACCUUUCCAGAACGGAGUCUCAGGAGGAAGAGUCUAGAAGUUUCAUCAUCUGUCUGCUUACAAAUCAUUGGAAUUCAAAACACAGGACAUGUGCUUUAAUAAUGGCCCAAAGAUCGGCAAGAGGACAGAUGAGGAGCAGACACGGAAAAGGAUCCCUGAAGGUAAAGAAUUUCAGGUUCAUUUCUGAAUCAAAAAGAUGGACUAUUCAUAGUUCAGGGUGAAGUCAGGUAGGAGGAUGUACACAAAGCAAAACAGGGAAAGUGUCUGGAGGUAGAGAAGUACAGGCACAAAUAAGCAAGUGUGUGUUUUGUAAAAUUUGAAGAUCUUUGGAUGAGCAGACACAGCCCACUGGCACAUAAUGAGAGGCAGGAUUCUUUGUCACUUACAGCUCCAAAUUAGAGGAGGCUGCUGCACAGGGCCAUGCACAGGAUUAUACUAGGGGACAGGCUUACAGCAAGCAGGAGCUACAAAAGGCAGCUUAUGUACAGCAAACAGAGUAUAGUAGGUUAUAUAUAACCAAACAGGGUAUAU